rnacentral:tRNA from 1 species
UCCCUGGUGGCUCAGAUGGUAAAGCGUCUGUCUAAAAUGUGGUAGACCCGGGUUCGAUUCCUGGGUUGGGAA